GCCCGUCCUUGCCAAGAGUACCAAGAAGGCACUGGGUCUGUGGCAGUUGGGUGUGGGGGCAGACAGGUCCUAGUUGGUAUGAUGGCUAGAUAUGGUUUUUCUGAGACUGUGGGGUGAGAGCAGUGUGAGCUGAGGAAACUGAGGCAUCAUUGUGGCCACACAGGGUAUGGGCUGAUGGGUCCAGGGCUCCAGGGUUGGGUGGGGGUGGGGGGGCAGGAGACACUUCCUCUGACUGCCUGUUUCUGUCUAGCCUCGGUCCCCAGCCCAGCCUUGCCCCGAAGCCUGUCCCACUGGGAGAUGAGUCGGGCACAGGAGUCCGUGGGGUUCCUGGACCCGGCUCCUGCAGCCAACCCGGGACCCAGAAGAAGAGGGCGCUGGGUUCAGCCAGGUGUGGAACUGAGCGUUAGAUCCAUGCUGGAUCUGCGGCAGCUGGAAACACUGGCCCCAAGCCUGCAGGACCCUAGCCAGGACUCGCUGGCCAUCAUCCCAUCUGGUCCCAGGAAGCAUGGGCAGCAGGCCCUUGAGACUUCACUCACUAGCCAGAAUGAAAAGCCCCCUCGGCCUCAGGCUUCCCAACCUUGUUCCUAUCCCCAUAUUAUCCGAUUAUUGUCACAAGAGGAAGGGGUCUUUGCCCAAGAUCUGGAACCUGCACCCAUUGAAGAUGGUAUUGUCUACCCGGAGCCAAGUGACAACCCCACCAUGGAUACCAGGCAAGGAUCCUGCCCUAGCCAGACCUCGUGCCCCCGUCUUCCCCUCCCUAUGAGUGUUCUUUAGUCGAGGGAGGGUUGGCCCCCAGGAUACUCAGGGCUUUCCUUCCAGCUCACCACUGCCUCAUCCCUCACCCUGAUCACAGGCAGGAGUCCAGCGGGGCUGCUGCCUACCCCUGCUCACUGCCUUUUCUUCUCCCUGCUGGAAUCCUGACAGUGAGUUCCAAGUGCAGGCUCCAGCCCGGGG
rnacentral:lncRNA from 1 species